rnacentral:rRNA from 1 species
AUGGACGCUGGCGGCGUGCCUCAUACAUGCAAGUCGCGCGAACAGAUAAGGAGCUUGCUCCUUUGACGUUAGCGGCGGACGGGUGAGUAACACGUGGAUAACCUACCUAUAAGACUGGGAUAACUUCGGGAAACCGGAGCUAAUACCGGAUAACAUAUUGAACCGCAUGGUUCAAUAGUGAAAGGCGGCUUUGCUGUCACUUAUAGAUGGAUCCGCGCCGUAUUAGCUAGUUGGUAAGGUAACGGCUUACCAAGGCAACGAUACGUAGCCGACCUGAGAGGGUGAUCGGCCACUCUGGAGCUGAGACACGGUCCAGACUCCUACGGGAGGCAGCGGUAGGGAAUCUUCCGCAAUGGGCGAAAGCCUGACGGAGCAACGCCGCGUGAGUGAUGAAGGUCUUCGGAUCGUAAAACUCUGUUAUCAGGGAAGAACAAAUGUGUAAGUAACUGUGCACAUCUUGACGGUACCUGAUCAGAAAGCCACGGCUAACUACGU